rnacentral:rRNA from 1 species
AACGAACGCUGGCGGCAGGCUUAACACAUGCAAGUCGAGCGCCCCGCAAGGGGAGCGGCAGACGGGUGAGUAACGCGUGGGAAUCUACCCAUCUCUAUGGAAUAACGCAUGGAAACGUGUGCUAAUACCGUAUACGUCCUUCGGGAGAAAGAUUUAUCGGAGAUGAAUGAGCCCGCGUUGGAUUAGCUAGUUGGUGGGGUAAAGGCCUACCAAGGCGACGAUCCAUAGCUGGUCUGAGAGGAUGAUCAGCCACACUGGGACUGAGACACGGCCCAGACUCCUACGGGAGGCAGCAGUGGGGAAUAUUGGACAAUGGGCGCAAGCCUGAUCCAGCCAUGCCGCGUGAGUGAUGAAGGCCCUAGGGUUGUAAAGCUCUUUCACCGGUGAAGAUAAUGACGGUAACCGGAGAAGAAGCCCCGGCUAACUUCGUGCCAGCAGCCGCCGUAAGAC